ensembl:snRNA U1 U1 spliceosomal RNA
AUACUUAUCUGAAGGGAAAUAAUGUGAUCACAGAGGGGUUUUCCCAGGGUGAGUUUUAGCCAUUGCACUCGAGAUAUGCUGUCUCUUGUGAUUUCCCGAAAUGCAGGAAACUCGACUGCAUAAUUUGUGGUAGUGGGGGGACUGCAUUUUCACUUUCCCCUG